UCCCGUGCACCCUAUCUUUUUUUCUCGGGGAAAAAAUGAAGGGUACAUCGAACUCCUCUCUGCUUGAGCGACAAAAGCCGCACGCCUCUCGACAUCCGCCGCCGCGUCCUACGCCAGCGGCAAGCUCCGCCGGCUCGCCAGCCAGUGAUAGGGCGAAUCUGGUUCCCCUCUACCUCCCUCGCCCUCUUCUUCUUCCUUAUACCUCCGGAGGUUCGCGUGCGAGGGGCCAGCACUGCUGCUACGGUUUCGGCGACAAAGAAGUGGCAGCGUGCUGCUAGAGGUGAGCAGGACGUUUGUAACGAUGUCACCGACGACCAUGACGAGGGCGUUGCGUGGAUGAGGAUCUCCGAUUGAGGGGCGGCGGCGGCGGUGGUCAAUGGGCGGAGCGCAGAAGCCGGAGUAGCGAGAGGCUCGGAUUCACGUACUGUGACAUCUCCAGCGACCGACGCUGUUCUCCUCCAGCCCCAGCCCCGAUCCGCAAUCAUGCACGCACUCUGCACGCCCCACCGUCCCACGACGCCAAUGGAGCAUCAGAGCAGGACGCCGGUGUUGGUCAGCUUUUCUGAUUUUUUUGUGUUUUGAUUCAGGGAUUUCACAAUACAAGACACGUGAAGGGAGAAGGAAGAAGGGGAAAUCCAAUUUGGAGUUCUCAUCAAUUAUAGAGGAGCGACGAGCCAGGAGGUGUUGUUGUGGCAGAUGCUGGUGUCAAGAACUGGUGUUGUUCGGAUAAGCUGGAACUAAGAGUCAUGGUCGUGUGACGGAUAAGAGCUAGAAGGCAUCAUCAUGUGUGGAUUUCAGGCAGGAGGCCAGUAUUUUUUAGUACUAGCAUGUAUGUUGGACGACAAGAGACUUUAUCCAUUCGGGUCAGGCUUCUGAGACGGCCAACACCUGCUUGCGUGUGUGUCAGUGCUGGGCGUUUGCAAGCAACUGCUUGGUGGCGUGGCCUUAAGCGGCGAUGGACAGGCGGACAACCAUUUGCAGCUGAAGCAGAGUGUCAAGCUGCUUGCUGCUGGUGUUGACUGAACCACCCAGUUACAAAUCUUGCUCUGUUUUCCCUUUGUUCACUCAAUUACAUGUAUAAGCAGUCCAAUCAGCAUUAUGCCAUAUUGCUCUAGUAUUUCAGGUGGUGCUUCUGGCGGCAAGUCUAUUACACCAUUCUCUUCAUGGUCAAGCAUUGGGCUUUUCUGUGCCUAGUCUGGCAUUUGGAUAAACUCCACGGUUUGAUUGUCCUAAUUGGAGAUACUGUUGGCAUGGCCGCAAAGGAUCCCUGAAGGAGUGGGGUGACCUGAUCUCCAAAUGAAAAAAAUUAAGGUUGUCUUUUCCUCGAUUGAUUGAAAUUAAGUUUGUAAUAGAAACUAAGUACUGUUUGUGAAACUGAUUCUGUCUAAUCUUAUCGAGAUAGUUUAAACAUGGCUUGGUAAUAGAAACUAAGUACUGUUUGUGAAACUGAUUCAAAUAGAUGCUUAUUGAUCUCCUGGAUGAAAUUGGACACUUGAUA